GAUGAACGCUAGCGGGAGGCCUAACACAUGCAAGCCGAGCGGUAUUGUUUCUUCGGAAAUGAGAGAGCGGCGUACGGGUGCGGAACACGUGUGCAACCUGCCUUUAUCUGGGGGAUAGCCUUUCGAAAGGAAGAUUAAUACUCCAUAACAUAUUGAUUGGCAUCAAUUAAUAUUGAAAGCUCCGGCGGAUAGAGAUGGGCACGCGCAAGAUUAGCUAGUUGGUGAGGUAACGGCUCACCAAGGCGAUGAUCUUUAGGGGGCCUGAGAGGGUGAUCCCCCACACUGGUACUGAGACACGGACCAGACUCCUACGGGAGGCAGCAGUGAGGAAUAUUGGUCAAUGGGUGCAAGCCUGAACCAGCCAUCCCGCGUGAAGGACGACUGCCCUAUGGGUUGUAAACUUCUUUUGUAUAGGGAUAAACCUACCCUCGUGAGGGUAGCUGAAGGUACUAUACGAAUAAGCACCGGCUAACUCCGUGCCAGCAGCCGCGGUAAUACGGAGGGCGCAAGCGUUAUCCGGAUUUAUUGGGUUUAAAGGGUCCGUAGGCGGACUUAUAAGUCAGUGGUGAAAGCCUGUCGCUUAACGAUAGAACUGCCAUUGAUACUGUAAGUCUUGAGUAUAUUUGAGGUAGCUGGAAUAAGUAGUGUAGCGGUGAAAUGCAUAGAUAUUACUUAGAACACCAAUUGCGAAGGCAGGUUACCAAGAUAUAACUGACGCUGAGGGACGAAAGCGUGGGGAGCGAACAGGAUUAGAUACCCUGGUAGUCCACGCCGUAAACGAUGCUAACUCGUUUUUGGGCUUUAGGGUUCAGAGACCAAGCGAAAGUGAUAAGUUAGCCACCUGGGGAGUACGCUCGCAAGAGUGAAACUCAAAGGAAUUGACGGGGGCCCGCACAAGCGGUGGAUUAUGUGGUUUAAUUCGAUGAUACGCGAGGAACCUUACCAAGACUUAAAUGGGAAUUGACAGCUUUAGAAAUAGAGCUUUCUUCGGACAAUUUUCAAGGUGCUGCAUGGUUGUCGUCAGCUCGUGCCGUGAGGUGUUAGGUUAAGUCCUGCAACGAGCGCAACCCCUGUCACUAGUUGCCAUCAUUCAGUUGGGGACUCUAGUGGGACUGCCUACGCAAGUAGAGAGGAAGGUGGGGAUGACGUCAAAUCAUCACGGCCCUUACGUCUUGGGCCACACACGUAAUACAAUGGCCGGUACAGAGGGCAGCUACACAGCGAUGUGAUGCAAAUCUCGAAGGCCGGUCUCAGUUCGGAUUGGAGUCUGCAACUCGACUCUAUGAAGCUGGAAUCGCUAGUAAUCGCGCAUCAGCCAUGGCGCGGUGAAUACGUUCCCGGGCCU
rnacentral:rRNA from 1 species